rnacentral:rRNA from 2 species
AUUGAACGCUGGCGGCAGGCCUAACACAUGCAAGUCGAGCGGUAACAGGGGGUGCUUGCACUCUGCUGACGAGCGGCGGACGGGUGCGUAACACGUAGGAAUCUGGCCGGUAGAGGGGGAUAGCCCGAAGAAAUUCGGAUUAAUACCGCAUACGCCCUAAGGGGGAAAGCAGGGGAUCUUAGGACCUUGCGCUAUCGGAUGAGCCUGCGUCGGAUUAGCUAGUUGGUGGGGUAAAGGCCUACCAAGGCAACGAUCCGUAGCUGAUCUGAGAGGAUGAUCAGCCACACUGGGACUGAGACACGGCCCAGACUCCUACGGGAGGCAGCA